rnacentral:rRNA from 1 species
CCUACGGGUGGCAGCAGUGGGGAAUAUUGCACAAUGGGCGCAAGCCUGAUGCAGCAACGCCGCGUGCGGGAUGACGGCCUUCGGGUUGUAAACCGCUUUCAUCCAUGACGAAGCGAGAGUGACGGUAGUGGAAGAAGAAGCACCGGCUAACUACGUGCCAGCAGCCGCGGUGAUACGUAGGGUGCGAGCGUUGUCCGGAUUUAUUGGGGGUAAAGGGCUUGUAGGCGGUUUGUCGCGUGGGGAGUGAAAACCCAGGGCUUAACCCUGAGCCUGCUUCCGAUACGGGCAGACUUGAGGAAGGUAGGGGAGAUUGGAAUUCCUGGUGAAGCGGUGGAAUGCGUAGAUAUCAGGAGGAACACCAGUGGCGAAGGCGGAUCUCUGGACCUUUCCUGACGCUGAGAAGCGAAAGCGUGGGGAGCAAACAGGAUUAGAUACCCGAGUAGUCG